rnacentral:rRNA from 1 species
UACGAAGGGGGCGAGCGUUGUUCGGAUUUACUGGGCGUAAAGGGCGCGCAGGCGGUUCUGUUUGUCGAGUGUGAAAGCCCCGGGCUCAACCUGGGAACUGCGCUCGAAACGGCAGAACUAGAGUUCGGGAGAGGAGAGUGGAAUUCCCAGUGUAGAGGUGAAAUUCGUAGAUAUUGGGAAGAACACCGGUGGCGAAGGCGGCUGCUCUGGACCGAUACUGACGCUGAGGCGCGAAAGCGUGGGGAGCAAACAGG